rnacentral:lncRNA from 1 species
GAAAACUGGACAUUUUGAGUAGUAUAAACGUGGCUAUUUUAGAAAUAAUUUUCCUCCCUCCUUAGGUUUUGUUUCCACUUGUUGCAUGUUGCUGUUGUUUGCUCAUUAGUGACUUUUCUAAAGUAUUUUGAAAAGUCUGUGUUCUUGAUCAUGUGGGUCCAUUGAAUUCUGUAUUCUGUUAAUUUCAUAGUCAGCUAGUGUUCUGAAAGUUCCCUUAAGUGCAUAGAGCCAAUAAAAGAAAAAGAAAAGAAACACAGAAAAAGAAAAGAGGAAAAAAGGAGGGAAAGAGAUUUAAAAAAAUAAUGUCGGUUGGGCAUGGUGGCUCAUGCCUGUAAUCCCAGCACUUUUGGGAGGCCGAGGCAGGCAAAUCACUUAAGGUUGACCAUCCUGGCCAACACGGAGAAACCUUGUCUCUACUGAAAAUAUAAAAUUAGCCGGGCAUGGUGGCACAUGCCUGUAAUCCCAGCUACUCGGGAGGCUGAGAGGUAGGAGAAUCACUUGAACUCGGGAGGUGGAGGUUGCAGUGAACUGAGAUCACACCACUGCACUCCAGCCUGGGCAACAAGAAUGAAACUCCAUCUCAAAAAAAAAUAAUAAUAAUAAUGCCUUUGCCGAUUUGCUCUGUGUUUGGGCCCUCAUUCAAUGCCUAGUCAGGCCAUUUACAACUCUCUCUUAACUUUCACUACCUGCUUGUGUACUGACUGAAGGCCACCUAUAGGUGAAAGCUUAACAUCAUCUCAGAUCUUUUUGGACCAUGAAUCCUACCCUGGGUAUGCACAUGAUCUUCUUAAUUUCCCAGUAGAUGCAAGAGUUUUAGUGUUUUAAAAGUCCUUAUUCCCUCAUCUAUCUUCUUUUCUGACCUUUUUCAGUCUGCUUAUUGUUCAUCUGAACUGACAUCCUUUGCCCCAAGCGGCUGUGGCAAAAACUUUUACCUUUAAAUGCUUUCACCACAAGCCACUUGGGAAGCUGCCCCAGACCUGGGACUGCUCUGACCCUGAUGAAACAAAGACAAGACCUUGUACAGCCAGGCAGCCAUAAGACAAGUCCAUACCCAAACCACAGUUCUUUCAGAAUAAGGUCUAUAUUGGAUUCUCUGGCCCUAGUAACCAGCAUGAGUCUGGGCUUGCCAUCUUCAUGGCCACUUGUCUUAGUUUGCUAGGGCUGCCAUAACAAAAUAUGAGAGACUGAGUGGCUUAAACAAGAGAAAUUUAUUUUUUCACAAUUCUGAAGACCAGAAGUCCAUUACUCUGAAAUCUCUCUCCUUGGCUUGCAGAUACUGCCUUCUUGCCGUGUCCUCACACAGCCUUUUCUCUGUGUACACAUCCCUGGUGUUUUUUAAGCCUGUCCAAAUUUUCUGUUCUUCUGAGGACACCAAUCAGAUUGGAUUAGCGACCACCCAUAUGAUCAUUUUACCUUAAGUACCUCUUCAAAGGUAUCAGAGUAGUAUAUUUGCUACAGUUGAUGAACCUGCAUACAACAUCAUCACUUGAGGUCUGCAGUUUACAUUAGAGUUCAUCGUUAGUGUUAUAUAUUCUAGGGUUUGUUUUGUUUUGAGACAGAACAGAGUCUUGCUGUGUUACCCAGGCUGGAGCGCAGUGGUACAAUCUCAUUGCUACCUCUGCUUCCCAGAUUCAAGCAAUUCUCAUACCUCAGCCUCCUAAGUAGCUGGAACUACAGGCGCACACCACCAUGCCCAGCUAAUUUUCGUAUUUUUAGUGGAGAUGGGGUUUCACCAUGUUGGCCAGGCAGGUCUUGAACUCCUUGCCUCAAGUGAUCUGCCCGCCUCAGCCUCCCCCAGUGUUGGGAUAACAGGCAUGAGUCACCAUGCCUGGCCUUAUUCUAUGGGUUUUGAAAUGUAUAAUGACAUGUAUCCAUCGUUGUAGUAUUAGAUAGAAUAGCUUCAUUACCCUAAAAGUCUUCUUUGCACUGGGUUGAGUUUUAAAAGCUCUUUGAUUAUUUUAUGACAGUUCCUUAUUAGAUAUAUCUUUUGCAAGUAUUUUUAUCAGUCUGUGGUUAUCUUGUCUUUUACAGAGCAGUAAUUUUUAAUUUUAAUAAAAUCCAAUUUGUCAAUUACUUAUCUCAUAUGACUCUGGUGUUACAUCUAAAAUGUUACCACCAUACUCAAGGUCACCUAGGUUUUCUCUAGGAAUUUUAUGGUUUUGCAUUUUACAUUUGGUGUAUGACCCAUUUGAAGUUAAUUUUUGUGAGGUUGUAAGGUCUGUGCCUAGAUUCAUUUUUUUUUUUUUUGGCAUGUUACUUCAGUAUUCAUAAGAAACAUUGUUCUGUAAUCUUCUUUCUUAUAGUAUCUUAGUCUUGCUUUAGUUUUUGGGCAAUGCUGGCCUCACUGAAUAAAUUCAAAGUGUUCCCUCCUCUUCAAUUAUUUGGAAAAGUUUGAGAAAGACUAUUGUUAACUGUUUUCUAAAUUUUUGGUGGAAUUUACCAGUGAACCAACUGGUCCUAGGCUUUUCUCCAGUAGGUGGUUUUGAUUAUGCUUUCAAUCUCUUUACAAGUUACACAUCUAUACAGACUUUUAUAAUUCAGUCUUGGUAGGUUGUGCGUAUUUAGGAAUCUGACCACUUCAUCUAAGUUAUCCAAUUAGUUGGCAUGCAAUUAUUCGUAGUUCUCUGAAUAAUCAUUUUUAUUUCCACAAAAUUGGUAAUAUCCCAGUUUCCAUUUUUUAUUUCAUUGAAUCUUCUUUUUUCUUAGCUAAUCUAGCUAAAUGUUUGCCAAUUUUGUUGAUCUUUUGGAAGAACCAACUUUUGAUUUAUUAAUUUUCUCUACUCUUUUUCUGUUCUUUAUAUUAUUUAUUUCCACACUAAUCUUUACUAUUUUCUUCCUUCUGUUGGCCUUUAAUUUUUUUUUUUUAAUUUUUAAGGUGUAAAUUUAGGUUGAGAAAUUUUUUAAAUGAAAGCAUUUAGAGCUAUAAAUUUUCCUUCUGGUGUUCCUUUCACUACCUGCCAUAAAUUUUGAUAUGUUGAGUUUUUGUUUGUCUUGGAGUAUUUUCUAAUUUGUCUUCUAAUUUCUUCCUUGACCUAUUGGUUAUUUAAAUGUAUUUAAUUUUUGCAUAUUGUGGAUUUCCCAGUUUUCCUUCUGUUAUUGAUUUCUAGUUUUAUUCCAUUGUGAUCACAGAAGAUAUUUUGUAUAAUCGCAGUCUAUUAACAUUUAUUAAGUCUUGUGGCCUAACAGAGGAUCUAUGUUGGAGAAUGUUCCAAGUGCAAUUGAGAAUACUAUUCUGGUGCUAUUAGGUGAAGUAUUCUCUAUAUGUCUGUUAAGUCCAAUUCAUCUAUAGUGUUGACGUUUC